GAGGGCGUAGCUCAGUGGUAGAGCACCCUCCUUGGAAAAGACCUAAUUUAAUUUAGAUCUUUUCCAAGAGGGGUUAUCAGCGCGGGUUCGAAUCCUGUCGCCCUCC
rnacentral:tRNA from 1 species